CCUACGGGUGGCAGCAGUGGGGAAUAUUGCACAAUGGAGGGAACCCUGAUGCAGCGACGCUGCGUGAGUGAGGAAGUAUUUCGGUAUGUAAAGCUCUAUCAGCAGGGAAGAAAGUGACGGUACCUGACUAAGAAGCCCCGGCUAAAUACGUGCCAGCAGCCGCGGUAAUACGUAGGGUGCAAGCGUUAUCCGGAUUUACUGGGUGUAAAGGGAGAGUAGAAGGCUAAGCAAGUCAGAAGUGAAAACCCAGAGCUCAACCAUGGGACUGCUUUUGAAACUGAGUAGCUAGAGUGCAGGAGAGGGAAGUGGAAUUCCUAGUGUAGCGGUGAAAUGCGUAGAUAUUAGGAGGAACACCAGUGGCGAAGGCGGCUUACUGGACUGUAACUGACGUUGAGGCUCGAAAGCGUGGGGAGCAAACAGGAUUAGAUACCCCGGUAGUC
rnacentral:rRNA from 1 species